rnacentral:lncRNA from 1 species
AGCAGUGCAUCACAUCCCAUGCAUGCUGCUGCUGUGGUGCAUGGCCAAGCAGGGAUCCUGGGUGGGUUACUGCACAUGAAGUGUGCUGAUUUUUAAAAAACUUUUAAUUUGGCUCUUUGGGCUGCUAGAUGAAUUUCAGGUAAUGUAUCUGCUUGUCAAGUUGCCGAUGGAAAACGGAUCUGACUCAGCAUGCCAUCUGGUCCUCUUUUCCUGCCCCAGGUAGUUUUAUGCAACCAUGGUAGCGCUGUCCAAGUCUGGGAGGCUGUGUAUUGUACCAUAUUUUCUUUUCAUACAUAUGCCUUUGUAUAGACUUAAUAGUUACUACCCUUAAAAUUAGUAGCAUUAUCAUAAGGAGUGCACUUUUUUCAAUGUUGACAAUUCUGCCUGUAUGCAUUUGAUUUCCUACCAGUGCUGUGUUUCCAUUCCUAAUAAAACCAGGUGAUCCUGUCAGCACUGGGAUGACUGCUGCAUGUCCCUGGGUCUUGCUGACAAGACUGUGGAAGCAGAUGGCAUGUCACAAACUAUUACAAUCCGUUAAUAAACUGCAAAGAACUGAAAGCUACUCAUCGUUAAAGAGAAGCUUAAGCGUAUCAGUCUUCCUAUUAAGACUUUCAGUGUUAUUAUCUUUUUCCUCUUGUAAAUUGGAGAAAAAGCUUGUCUGCCCCUAUCAUGGGGACCUCAGAGAGAACCGAAGCUGUAGCACGCUGUGCCAGGACAGUCAGUGAAGCAGCUGGAACUCACGGUUCACUUCUACUGCUGGGAUUAAUUCCAGUAUAAAAUGAUGAUGCAGUUAAAAUUCUGAAGUAUGUUUCUGGGAAGUUGCCAGUAAUUUUCAGAUCCUGAGACCUGCAGGGCAGAGCAUCAGCUCAGAAACAUGCAGGGCUUAUGAAUAUAUAUAAAAUGGGUUUAAAGUAAUGUAGAUGCUGUUAUGCUGUUGUAAUGAAUGCAUUUUCUGGAGUAGCGAUCUCACUGUAGCAUGGUGUACAGUUACUUAAAAGUCUGGGAAGUCCUGGAAGGACAGAAUGAAGCAAAUGGAGAUAGAGGUGGAAAUGGCACACAUUGAGAAACAAGGCAAAAAUAAAGAUUGUUAAGUUUGGAGAAGAGAUCUGCCUAAACCCGAUAACUAAAAUAAGGGUAAUGAAACUAUUCUAGGAAAAUGCUUUCACUACCUUUUGUAAAACAGUGCAAAAUCAACCAUUUAAUCCUUUUAAAAAACAAACAAACAAAAACAACAAAAAACAAAAACCAACCAACAACAUACUGUUCAUAUCAGGACAAACCAAUGGCUAGUUUCAUGUCUUGUUUCAGACGGUGAUCAGGAGCAGCCUGAAGUCUUUUAGGAAAAAGCAAGGGAAAGUGUGGAACAGCAGUGUAGUACCAGCUAGAAAGUGGGGUGCUGAACUAGAAGAACUCCUUCGUGUCCACCAGGAAAACAAAUCUGCACGGACAGUAGCAGAGAACAGCGAGAUGUUACAGAGAAGCCUGUUGCUGGAAGAAAAUCUAAACAGGGCUUUUGCUGAGAAUAGGAUGGCUGCUACAAACAUGGGCUAGUGUGGCUGACUAAAAGCAGUUAUGUAUUCCAAGUAAGUGGCAACAAAUGUGUUUCCCUAUUGCUGGUAGCCACCAGAAAACCUUUUCUGUCAUGGUAGUGAGUGAAAAAGUUCCUGUAAGUGUCUUAGUUAAAAACAAGCAGUGCUAAACCUGCUGCUCACCUGCUUACAGAAGCAGUUUGGAGUGUACCUGGCAUCUGAAUUGGAUCAUGCCAACUAGCAAAGCUUGGCAGAGUUGUUUCCAAAACCAAACAAAUACAGAAAAUAACUGGGAAAAAAAAAAAUCCCCCAUCUGCUGUAGGCAAAGCAUUUGAACUGAAUUUGUCUGAUCUGGAAUGAGUUAUGGUAUUCUGUGUAGGGGAAAAUUACUUGAGUGGCUCUUCACUGCGGCACAGUGUUAAUUUAAGGCUGUGUUAUUCCAAUUAUGAUUUAAAAAAAAUAAUCAGUCUGUUCUGAUGUUCUGACAACUUGUCCAUUUGAAAGCUCUGUGUGGAUUAUUUUCUGUUUGAAAGCACUUUCACAGAUCUCCAUUCUCGCUACUCUUGCUGUUAGUCUAGAAAAAGGUGCUGCGCACUCCCACGUGGAGUUGGAACAAGGAGAAUGUCUCUUUGUGUUAGCUAUCUUUUGUCUGGGAACAAAUAGAAGAUACAGGCUGCAGGUCUGUAGCUGUGUGCUGAUAAUUUGUGCCUUAAGGUGCAAGAUGAGGCUGCAGGUGGUCGUACACCUAGCAGUGGCUGUAUUCCCAAACCAUCGCCCAGCUGGAUCUCGAUGCCAGCUCCGGGUGUUGCAGAGAUGCUGUGAGAGAUGGGCUUGUGGUCAUGUUUUGCCCUGGUUGUGUGGUUUUUUUUUUUUUUUGCCUUUCUACCUGUGUCAUCUGCCCUUUACAGAUAGAUUCAUUCAGCCUUUCAGAUUUGUGCUCUGCAUGGGAUAGCAUCUCCAUUGUAUAAGAUGAUGUAUAUAUAAUUACUAGAUAAAUGCAUGCACUUGUGAUGCAUAUCUGAUAUAGCUACAGGUGUUUUGCUGUCCGGCUGCAAGAGCAACUCUGCGUUUUAAUGUAUUGGAUGUUUUUCCAUUUAAAAUCGGAGCGGCUUAGCCAAACAGGCUGCUGGAGAACUCACUUCUGUAUGCUGGAGGCCCCAGAACAGCUGUGCUGACAGCUAGGCCAGGCAGGAUGGCAGCUGCUUUUAAGGUAGGGAAAAGAGAGAGAUUCUGAAACUUAAAGGUAACCCAUCUAUUACUCCCAUACUAGUGAUGGAAUUCAUGGAGUCUGGAUUAGCUAACAAAACUUCUCAUUUCACAAACCUGACACUUCACACGUGUCUCAUAUUUGCAGCGAGCUUAUCUUAAAGUCAUCAUCCAAAAAAAGUGUUUCCUAAACCAGAAAGAGCAAGCUCUCCCUCUCUUAGCUAUUAUGGACUGCUUAAUUCUCUCUCAAGGAGCGGUGUUGGGAAGUUCCUGUAUAUUUAUAUCCUAUUCUGAAGGAAAUGAGAGGGAAGGACUAGAGCUGUAUUUGUCUCAUCUGCUUUCAUACAAAGGCACUUUUAGUCCAGUGAUUACCUCUGCCAGAAACCUCAUUCUCAACUACAUUUUCCCAUGCAAAGCAUUCUGUUUUAUCUUCUAAUGUAUGUCUGAAAGUUUAUAAAGCUUUAAAGAGACAAAGAAGCGGUGUCUACAAACUGUGUUUGAUUUUCACAGGGGUGAGUUUCUGUGUAAAUUGUUCACUUGGGUUCAGCUGCUUUUCUUGCCCUUGUUCUCUGUGAGGCCAAGUGUUCUCUGAGCUUCAUCUGAGGAGUUCUCUUUCUGAGAGCAAGACUCCGUCAACAGCUGAGCCCAAGAAAUGCUUAACUUCUCGAGAAUCAAAAACAACAUAUAUUUUUAUAGAAACGUGUAUUUUAAAAAUCUGUUUCCUGCAGCUUCUCCAUAUGUAUUUUUCCCCUUGUAGUUCAGAUUUGAUAAAAACUCUUUUUGUUGAGUUCAUUCUUUUUACGUUGUUUUUAAAUUUGUAGUCAAAGCUUUGGUGUACUGUACAGGAGCAGUCAGCCUUUGUAAUUACUGUAUAAAUGCUUUAUAAUAAAGUAUAUUACUUUUAUUUUAGCAAGUGAGCAGACACUUCCUUUUGUGUGUUUGCUGCCUAUGGCACCUUUUAAAAGACUGUUACAUGUUAAAAAUGUACAUAUAUAAAUAUAUUUACCUGUUGCUGUACAGUUGUGAUAGACUGGACUGAAUUUAUUUUUUGUGUGCUUUUUUAUAAAAUAUUAAUACACUAAAGGCAAUCUUGCUGAUGUGAUUGUAAUGUACUAUGUAACUUAUUUACUUAAUAUCCUCUAUAUAUCUAAGAAGCCCUUUUAUUAAAUGAG